rnacentral:rRNA from 1 species
UUCGAGUGGCGGACGGGUGAGUAACGCGUGGGUAACCUGCCUUACACAGGGGGAUAACACCUGGAAACAGGUGCUAAUACCGCAUAAGCGCACAGGGCCGCAUGGCCCGGUGUGAAAAACUCCGGUGGUGUAAGAUGGACCCGCGUCUGAUUAGCUUGUUGGCGGGGUAGGGGCCCACCAAGGCGACGAUCAGUAGCCGGCCUNAGAGGGUGGACGGCACAUUGGGACUGAGACACGGCCCAAACUCCUACGGAAGGCAGCAG